UCGCUGCCGCCUUGCAGUUUGAUCUCAGACUGCUGUGCUAGCAAUCAGCGAGACUCCGUGGGCGUAGGACCCUCCGAGCCAGUGAGAUGAACCCGGUACCUCAGAUGGAAAUGCGGAAAUCACCCGUCUUCUGCGUCACUCACGCUGGGAGCUGUAGACCGGAGUUGUUCCUAUUCGGCCAUCUUGGCUCCUCCCGACUUCAUUUCUUCUUUGCCUUCUUCCAUGAUUGUGAGGCAUCUCCAGCCAUGUGGAACUUUUUGAUGGCAGCAGGGGUCCAUCUGGAGCAGCCACUCCCAUGAUGCCAGCCGCAGCAGAGGAGGCACAGCUGGGGCUGAGCACUACAAGGAGCUGGCCCACCCAUGGCUGCCUAUGGACCAAUCAGCACAUAUUUCCUCCUGUCUGAAGCCCAUAAAAACCCUAGACUCAGCCAGACUUGGAGAGAGGAUGGGAUGAUGACCAGCCAUGGAGAGCAGUUACCCACUCCAGAGUCUCCUCUCUGCUGAGAGCUGAGCAGACAUCAGGAUUGCCAGUGGCAGUGAGGAGCUACCUACUCCAGGGUCUCCUCUCUACUGAGAGCUGAACACCCAACAGAAUGGCCUACCUGCAGAGAACUACUCACUCCCAGGUCUCCUCUCUAUUGAGAGCUGACACUAAUAGGGACACCCUGCCUGUGGAGAGGAGCUACCCAAUGCAGGUCUCCACUGAGCUGUUCUGUCACUCAAUAAAACUCCUCUUUGCCUUGCUCACCCUCCACUUGUUCUCAAACCUCAUUCUUCCUGGACGCAGGAUAAGAAUUUGGGAUCUGCUGAAUGACAGUGCUAAAAGAGCUGUAACACAAACAGGGCUGAAAUACGCCCCUUGCUUGCCACGUUGUAGGUGACAAGAAGAAGAGAAGAAAGAAGGAGAGAAGAGCUGCAACUGUUCAGGGAACCCAGACUCAGGAGCUCUCUGAGCCAAGGCUGUAACACCUCUUUGGGGCUCUGAGGUUUCUGGCAUCUUCAAGCAACUAUAUUCCCCAGUGCCAGCCAUGGAAGCUGCUUGUGGUAUGCCUGGUCCAGCUGCAGCCUUACAGAGAGCCAGCACCUGCCCCAUCACAGCCAGAGUGCCUGGCUGUGUGCAGUGGCCAGACCCCAUGUUUUCUCACUCACACACCACUCACUGCUCUGCUCACCCUUGGCAGGGAUGGGAUCCAGGCCAAUAGUGUAAGCCAAGUGCAACCUGCCAGGCCAAGUGGGCCCGGAGGGCCUGAGCAAAACUCAGGCAAAGGCACCACUGGCCACAGAGGUUUCUGACUGGUGAAACGACACCCCAAGGAUCCUGUAACAAUUUUACCACAAAUGUAUACACCCUCUAAAAAUAUUGCUUAGUGUUUUAUAUAUUUACCCUGUUUUCUUUUUGAUAGAAUUUGGUAAUUUUCAUAUUUUUAUAACUUUGAGUAAUUUUCAUAUUUUUAUAACAAGGAUUUUAUGUACGUGGACUGGAUGCA